AUCAAUCACUACCUCCUGCUUAGUACUUACAACUGCAAGGAACUACGAUCCCUACCAGGUUCCUUAAUUUUGCCAUGCUUUCACAUCCAGAGUACUUUCCCCUUUUUUCCACACUUCCAACAUGACGAUCAGAGGAGGUGCCUAGACACCUCAGCAACAGCAGACCUGCACAUGGGUGGGGGAUUUCUUAACCACUUGGCAUGGUAAAAGCAUGUUCCUU